rnacentral:tRNA from 1 species
GGUGGCUCAGUGGUAGAGUGCCUGCCUAGCAUGCAUGAAGCCCUGGGUUCAAUUCCUCAGCACCA